UUGUCCUUGGGAUUAAAAUGCAGCUUGGUUCGUGGCUGCCGGUUGCAACGUUCUUGCUCAAUACUGGAUCAAUUUAAAAGAUUUUUGUUCACAUUAGUCACUUAGACACCAAUAAUUGGUUGAA